rnacentral:hammerhead_ribozyme from 2 species
AGCCGAAACGGGGGCAUCGGCCCCCGUCGUCCCGGGCAGUCCACUGGGACCUGACGAGGCAAAGCGCG